rnacentral:ncRNA from 1 species
GCGGCAGACCACUCCACAUCCUGGCUGCCGUACAUGAAAAAAAAGGAGGUUAAAAGCCCCGGCUCGGGCUGCGGCAGUGUGGAGACCUGUCGUAACGUGUCGCAUCCCCCGCGGAUGGACGCGAGCGGCUUCUCGCGGAGGCGGAAACCGCAGAGUCAAGAAACAUGGC